rnacentral:rRNA from 1 species
CGCGUAGGCGGGCCUUCAAGUCGGAUGUGAAAACCAAGCAGCUCAACUGCUGGCCUGCAUUCGAUACUGUUGGUCUUGAGUACAGGAGGGGAGAGCGGAAUUCCAGGUGUAGCGGUGAAAUGCGUAGAUAUCUGGAAGAACACCGGUAGCGAAGGCGGCUCUCUGGCCUGAUACUGACGCUCAAGCGCGAAGGCUUGGGGAGCAAACA